AGAACUCUUUCCAUUUGGAGUUGCUGAAUGAGAAGAGGAAUUGCUCUCUCAGGGUCCACUGAUUGAGCUUGCCCAGCUACUGAUAUUGCCACAGCUGCAGCAAUUUCAGAAGGUUUGAAUUCCAAGAAGUCAAUCCCUUGUAUUAUGUUCAAGAGUAGAUGAAUCGAUCGGGUGAUCGACAUUUUGAUAGAGAGUUCGUCAUCGUUAAUCUUGCGGAGGUAAUGAUCGAUAAAAGAGAAAGGUGUAACUGCUUGCAUUCUCCACCCCAAUGUUGUCAAGACUAAAAGCUCCAUUCUUU
rnacentral:misc_RNA from 1 species